CCACAGAUCAGUUCUCCUCCCUGUUGGCUUCUUUCUUUUCUUCCUCCAUCUCUUCCCACCCCUCCCUGAUAUUUAUUUUCCUCUGUCCCCACCCUCUCUUUCACUUAGUUUCUAACCCCCUUCUUUUCCCAUUUGCUCUCUUUCUGUCCUCCCUCUCCCUUCCCUUUGUCCCCAUUUCCUGUCAAGCUCAGCCUCUGUCCACCAAUGUUGUCCCUUUGUCCUCCUCUCUUUUUCCUACUUCAACCCUCUCAUUCUUGUUACCUUCCUGACAUCUUAUGUGGGAAAGUGAUCCUGUCACCUGCCUGAAAUCUUGAUCUUCCAAGGAAUUCACAUAGUCUCACUGAACUCUGCAGGACUCUGUGCAGAUAGAAAAUCAAAGCCCAUCUGAUGUUGAGAGAGUGAAGUCUCCUCCCACUGGAAAACUGAGCUUUCAGAAAGAAUACCAAGUCCCAAGGAUGCCAGAAGAGAGAGUAAGAAUGUGGUCACUGACUGGACUCUGGACUGGAUUUGCCUGUUAGUAGCUAAUCGUCCAUGUACAGGAAGACAAUAUAGCUGUUUACUCUCAUCUGGACCACCACCACUUAGAAGAACUUCGCAAAGAUAAUGCGGGGUACUGUAGCUAUCCCAAACAGGAGUACUCUGACCUGAAAGUGCUCCUAAGGAAUCUGAAGAGCCUUCUGUGGAAUGGAUGAUUGUCCACAUGAAAAUAAGCAUUUUUUCACAUCAAGAGCCACGAACCACAUGCCCUCCUCCAGAGAAGAUAUUAUUGAUGUCAGUGUGACCACGCAAAAUUUUGAUUUUCAAAUAAUAACUUUUAGCUGGCAUAGAACGAUAAUUGAUCUGCAUCCUGUUUU